CCUACGGGGGGCAGCAGUGGGGAAUAUUGCACAAUGGGGGAAACCCUGAUGCAGCGACGCCGCGUGAGUGAAGAAGUAUUUCGGUACGUAAAGCUCUAUCAGCAGGGAAGAAAAAAAGUCCUUUGGACUUUGGACGGUACCUGACCAAGAAGCCCCGGCUAACUACGUGCCAGCAGCCGCGGUAAUACGCAGGGGGCAAGCGUUAUCCGGAUUUACUGGGUGUAAAGGGAGCGUAGACGGCAGUGCAAGUCCGGAGUGAAAGCCCGGGGCUCAACCCUGGGACUGCUCUGGAAACUGUAAAGCUG
rnacentral:rRNA from 1 species